UCUGGAGUGGCAGAAUAGUGCAUUGGAUUUAAACCCCAAACAUGAAGUUUAACCGGUCUUUAGAA
rnacentral:tRNA from 1 species